CCUACGGGUGGCAGCAGUGAGGAAUAUUGGUCAAUGGACGGAAGUCUGAACCAGCCAAGUCGCGUGAGGGACGACUGCCCUCUGGGUUGUAAACUUCUUUUAUAAGGGAGUAAGAAAUGCCACGUGUGGCCUAAUGCCUGUACGUUAUGAAUGAGCAUCGGCUAACUCCGUGCCAGCAGCCGCGGUAAUACGGGGGAUGCGAGCGUUAUCCGGAUUUAUUGGGUUGAAAGGGUGCGUAGGCGGAAUGUGAAGUGAGUGGUAAAAGGGGGGGGGUUAACCUCGAUUUGCCAUUGAUACUGUAUGACUGGAGUGCAGAAGAGGUAGGCGGAAUAAGAUGUGUAGCGGUGAAAUGCGUAGAUAUAACUCAGAACUCCGAUAGCGAAGGCAGCUUACCGGUCUGCGACUGACGCUGAAGCACGAGAGCGUGGGUAGCGAACAGGAUUAGAUACCCGAGUAGUC
rnacentral:rRNA from 1 species